rnacentral:rRNA from 1 species
UUGGGCACUCUAAUGAGACUGCCGGUGACAAGCCGGAGAAGUGGGGAUGACGUCAAGUCCUCAUGGCCCUUAUAGGUGGGGCUACACACGUCAUACAAUGGCUGGUACAAAGGGUUGCCAACCCGCGAGGGGGGAGCCAAUCCCAUAAAGCCAGUCGUAGUCCGGAUCGUAGUCUGCAACUCGACUACGUGAAGUCGGAAUCGCUAGUAAUCGUGGAUCAGAAUGUCACGGUGAAUACGUUCCCGGGUCUU